rnacentral:misc_RNA from 1 species
CAUGUUCUUGGAAUUUUGUCUCAAUUGUGGAAAGGAGGAAAAAUGGUAACUUUAAUUAUAAUGACAAUCCUGAAUUGCUGGAGUUUAAGGUAAAGUAUAAAGAUGAAAUUUCACACAACCAUAAAAAAAUUAUGAAAAUAAAUAUGCAAUUCAACCAUUGUCAUGAUGAUAAGUUGGGCCAUGGACUGGACUGAAUGUUGUCCUUGGAAGGGUCAUGAAAUUGGAGGGUCCAGAUUCAUGGGCAGGUG